CGAAAGCCUGAUGCAGCGACGCGCGUGAGGGAUGACGGCCUUCGGGUUGUAAACCUCUUUCAGCAGGGAAGAAGCGAAAGUGACGGUACCUGCAGAAGAAGCGCCGGCUAACUACGUGCCAGCAGCCGCGGUAAUACGUAGGGCGCGAGCGUUGUCCGGAAUUAUUGGGCGUAAAGAGCUCGUAGGCGGCUUGUCACGUCGGUUGUGAAAGCCCGGGGCUUAACCCCGGGUCUGCAGUCGAUACGGGCAGGCUAGAGUUCGGUAGGGGAGAUCGGAAUUCCUGGUGUAGCGGUGAAAUGCGCAGAUAUCAGGAGGAACACCGGUGGCGAAGGCGGAUCUCUGGGCCGAUACUGACGCUGAGGAGCGAAAGCGUGGGGAGCGAACAGGAUUAGAUACCCUGGUAGUCCACGCCGUAAACGGUGGGCACUAGGUGUGGGCGACAUUCCACGUCGUCCGUGCCGCAGCUAACGCAUUAAGUGCCCCGCCUGGGGAGUACGGCCGCAAGGCUA
rnacentral:rRNA from 1 species